UACAGGGGGGGCAAGCGUUGUUCGGAAUUACUGGGCGUAAAGGGUUCGUAGGUGGCUUACUAAGUCAGACGUGAAAUCCCUCAGCUUAACUGGGGAACUGCGUCUGAUACUGGAAAGCUUGAGUGCAGGAGAGGAACGCGGAAUUCCAGGUGUAGCGGUGAAAUGCGUAGAUAUCUGGAGGAACACCGGUGGCGAAGGCGGCGUUCUGGACUGCAACUGACACUGAGGAACGAAAGCCAGGGGAGCAAACGGG
rnacentral:rRNA from 1 species